rnacentral:rRNA from 1 species
UACAGAGGUCUCAAGCGUUUGUUCGGAUUCAUUGGGCGUAAAGGGUGCGCAGGCGGCCAUGUGUGUCAGGUGUGAAAGCCCGGGCUUAACCCCGGAAUUGCGCCUGAAACUACAUGGCUAGAGCAUUGGAGAGGGUAGCGGAAUUCACGGUGUAGCAGUGAAAUGCGCAGAUAUCGUGAGGAACACCAGAGGCGAAGGCGGCUACCUGGACAAUUGCUGACGCUCAGGCACGAAAGCGUGGGGAGCAAAAGGG